CCCUAAAACCAAAAACUUUGUUUUGCAUUCAUCUGAUUUGCAGAGACUAUAGCAACAAGGGACCAACCAAAAACCAAGAACAACAACUUCUUCUUAAGAACUGUGUAGAGAGAGAAAGUGGCUCUUUUUCUCUUUCUCUCUCUUUGUUUUGUGUUUGUCUGUGGAGAGUACAUGCAAAACAGUGAACUUUGAGAAUUAGAUAGAGAAACAAGGGAGUUUGAAGGUUCUAGUUUCAAUUUGCAAAAGCUGCCCAACAAGUACUAUUGUUGUUUUUUCUGUUUUGCUUCUUAUCCACCUUCUAAGACUUGCUCUUGAUUUUGUGGAAGAAGAAGAAAGACAUCUGAUAGAAGGGUUGAGAUUGAGUGCUUGUUGGUUGGUGCUGGUGUUGUUGCAGAGACAUGUUGGACGGCCGUUCCUGUGUGGUUCCGAGGUUGUUUCCCAGCUCCUACCAGGCUUAACGCUCUGAUUCUGAGUUGCUUGCUCGUGUCUUUCCAAGGCUUUUGAUAGUUAU